rnacentral:rRNA from 1 species
UAACACGUAGGAGGCAAGCGUUAUUCGGAUUUACUGGGCGUAAAGCGCAUGUAGGCGGCUCGGAAAGUUGGAUGUGAAAGCUCCCGGCUUAACUGGGAGAGGUCGUUCAAUACUUUCGGGCUAGAGGAUGGGAGAGGGAGGUGGAAUUCCGGGUGUAGUGGUGAAAUGCGUAGAUAUCCGGAGGAACACCAGUGGCGAAAGCGACCUCCUGGCCCAAACCUGACGCUCAGAUGCGAAAGCUAGGGUAGCAAACGGG